rnacentral:rRNA from 1 species
UGGCACCCAACAGAUUUAAACUAAAGUAGCAACUCCCCUAGAAAAUACUACUCUACCUACUGUUAACCUAACACAAGAACAUUUAAAGAAAGAUUAAAAGGAAAAGAAGGAACUCGGCAAAUGUUAAACCCGCCUGUUUACCAAAAACAUCACCUCUUGUUUUCUCAUAAGAGGCCCAGCCUGCCCAGUGACUUUAUUCAACGGCCGCGGUAUCCUAACCGUGCAAAGGUAGCGUAAUCACUUGUCUCCUAAAUAGAGACUAGUAUGAAAGGCAUCACGAGGAUUAAACUGUCUCCUUUCCCUAAUCAGUGAACCUAAUCUCCCCGUGAAGAAGCGGGGAUAAUCUUAUAAGACGAGAAGACCCUAUGGAGCUUAAAACAAUAUUACACGUGCCACCUCACUCCCUACACCAAGGUCAUCACCUCUCAACACGCUGAUAAUAUGUUUUCGGUUGGGGUGACCGCGGAAAACAAAUUAACCUCCACGAUGAAGGGGAUCCCCCCCAAACAACAAGCCACAACUUUACCCAUCAAUAAAUUGACAUUCAUUGACCCAAUACUUUGACCAACGAACCAAGUUACCCUAGGGAUAACAGCGCAAUCCACUUCGAGAGCCCCUAUCGACAAGU